ACAGAAGAAGCACCGGCUAACUCCGUGCCAGCAGCCGCGGUAAUACGGAGGGUGCGAGCGUUAAUCGGAAUUACUGGGCGUAAAGCGCACGCAGGCGGUUUGUUAAGCUAGAUGUGAAAGCCCCGCGCUUAACGUGGGAUGGUCAUUUAGAACUGGCAGACUAGAGUCUUGGAGAGGGGAGUGGAAUUUCUGGUGUAGCGGUGAAAUGCGUAGAGAUCAGAAGGAACAUCAAUGGCGAAGGCAGCUCUCUGGCCAAAGACUGACGCUCAUGUGCGAAAGUGUGGGUAGCGAACAGGAUUAGAUACCCUGGUAGUCCACACCGUAAACGCCGUCUACUAGCUGUAUGUGUAUUUAAUACGUGUGUAGCGAAGCUAACGCGCUAAGUAGACCGCCUGGGGAGUACGGUCGCAAGAUUAAAACUCAAAUGAAUUGACGGGG
rnacentral:rRNA from 1 species